rnacentral:rRNA from 1 species
GACGAACGCUGGCGGCGUGCUUAACACAUGCAAGUCGAACGAUGAACUGGAGCUUGCUCCAGGGAUUAGUGGCGAACGGGUGAGUAACACGUGAGUAACCUGCCCUUGACUCUGGGAUAAGCGCUGGAAACGGCGUCUAAUACCGGAUACGAGCUUCAGCCGCAUGGCUAGGAGUUGGAAAGAAUUUCGGUCAAGGAUGGACUCGCGGCCUAUCAGCUAGUUGGUGAGGUAAUGGCUCACCAAGGCGACGACGGGUAGCCGGCCUGAGAGGGUGACCGGCCACACUGGGGCUGGGAGACGGCCCAGACUCCUACGGGAGGCAGCAGUGGGGAAUAUUGCACAAUGGGCGCAAGUCUGCUGCAGCAACGCCGCGUGAGGGAUGACGGCCUUCGGGUUGUAAACCUCUUUUAGUAGGGAAGAAGCGAAAGUGACGGUACCUGCAGAAAAAGCACCGGCUAACUACGUGCCAGCAGCCGCCGCCG